CACGUAGGGCGCAAGCGUUGUCCGGAAUUAUUGGGCGUAAAGAGCUCGUAGGCGGUUCCGUAAGUCAGGUGUGAAAAAUCUGGGCUCAACCCAGUGGAGCACCUGAUACUGCGGUGACUCGAGUCCGGUAGGGGAGUGUGGAAUUCCUGGUGUAGCGGUGAAAUGUGCAGAUAUCAGGAGGAACACCGGUGGCGAAGGCGGGUCUCUGGGCCGAUACUGACGCUGAGGAGCGAAAGCGUGGGGAGCGAACAGG
rnacentral:rRNA from 1 species